UACGGAGGGGGCUAGCGUUGUUCGGAAUUACUGGGCGUAAAGCGCGCGUAGGCGGAUCAGAAAGUUGGGAGUGAAAUCCCGGGGCUCAACCCCGGAAUUGCCUUCAAAACUCCUGGUCUUGAGUUCGAGAGAGGUGAGUGGAAUUCCGAGUGUAGAGGUGAAAUUCGUAGAUAUUCGGAGGAACACCAGUGGCGAAGGCGGCUCACUGGCUCGAUACUGACGCUGAGGUGCGAAAGCGUGGGGAGCAAACAGG
rnacentral:rRNA from 1 species